CGGCACCUCAAGUGGUCAGGAUGAUUAUUGGGCCUAAAGCAUCCGUAGCCGGCUCUGUAAGUUUUCGGUUAAAUCUGUACGCUCAACGUACAGGCUGCCGGGAAUACUGCAGAGCUAGGGAGUGGGAGAGGUAGACGGUACUCGGUAGGAAGGGGUAAAAUCCUUUGAUCUAUUGAUGACCACCUGUGGCGAAGGCGGUCUACCAGAACACGUCCGACGGUGAGGGAUGAAAGCUGGGGGAGCAAACCGGAUUAGAUACCCGAGUAGUCC
rnacentral:rRNA from 1 species